rnacentral:rRNA from 1 species
GUUCUCCUCGAAAUAGCUUUAGGGCUAGCCUCAUGGAUCAUUGGUGGGGGUAGAGCACUGAAUGUGCGCGGGGGCCACAAAGCCUACCAAACGCUAUCAAACUUCGAAUACCAUACAAUGCAGACCAUGGGAGUCAGUCCGCGAGAGAUAAGUUCCGCGGGCAAAAGGGGAACACCCCAGAUCAACCGCUAAGGUCCCCAAGUUCACGUUAAGUGGAGAAGGAUGUGGAAUUGCACAGACAACCAGGAUGUUGGCUCAGAAGCAGCCACACAUUUAAAGAGUGCGUAAUAGCUCACUGGUCGAGUGAUUGUGCGCCGAAGAUGUCCGGGGCUAAACGUGACACCGAAGCGAUGGGUGCAUCUGAAAGGAUGCGCGGUAGAGGAGCAAUGUGCAGAGGCAGAAGCCGUAUCGAGAGGCACGGUGGACACUGCACAAGAGAGAAUGCCGGUAUGAGUAGCGAGAGGCAUGCGAGAAACAUGCCCGUCGAAAGCCCAAGGUUUCCUGGGGAAGGUUCAUCCGCCCAGGGUAAGUCGGGGCCUAAGCCGAGGACGGAAGUCGUAGGCGAUGGACAGCAGGUGUAGAUUCCUGCACUACCGAUGGAAUGAAGCAGUGACACAGAAGGAUAACUCGAGCAGGGUGAUGGUCAACCCUGUGCAAGCAUCAAGGUUGGGUUGUAGUGAAGUACGCAACCCUAUAAGCUGAGAUGUGAUGCGGACCGAAAUUUCAGUAGGGAAGCGAGUGAGUUCACGCUGGCGAGAAAAGCUGCUAGUAUAUCCAAAGGUACCCGUACCGGAAACCGACGCAGGUGGGCGAGGAGAGAAUCCUGAGACGAACGGGAGAACCCUUGUUAAGGAACUCGGCAAAAUGACCCCGUAACUUCGGGAUAAGGGGUGCCUGCGAGAGCAGGCCGCAGAGAAUAGUCACAAGCGACUGUUUAGCAAAAACACAGGUAUCUGCGAAAGCGAGAGCUGACGUAUAGGUGCUGACACCUGCCCGGUGCUGGAAGGUUAAGGGAACAUGUUAGAGCAAUCGAAGCAUCGAACCGAAGCCCCAGUAAACGGCGGCCGUAACUAUAACGGUCCUAAGGUAGCGAAAUUCCUUGUCGGGUAAGUUCCGACCCGCACGAAUGGUGUAACGACUUGUGAGCUGUCUCAACAGGGGGCCCGGUGAAAUUGAAGUAUGGGUGAAGAUGCCCAUUACCCGCGACUGGACGGAAAGACCCCGUAGAGCUUUACUGCAGCCUGAUAUUGAGUUUCGGUAACUGAUGCACAGGAUAGGUGGGAGUCUGAGAGACAUGGGUUUUGGCUCGUGUGGAGACGCUGUUGGGAUACCACUCUUCGGUUACUGAAAUUCUAACAUAGCUCUGUGAAACCAGAGGAUGGACAGUGUCAGGUGGACAGUUUGACUGGGGCGGUCGCCUCCGAAAGAGUAACGGAGGCGCCCAAAGGUACCCUCAGAAUGGAUGGAAACCAUUCGAAGAGCGCAAAGGCAGAAGGGUGCCUGACUGCGAGAGUGACAACUCGAGCAGAGACGAAAGUCGGGCUUAGUGAUCCGG